rnacentral:snoRNA from 1 species
GUGAAAGAUAGAACCCGGCCUGAUUAGUGAUGGGGCUCCGCCUCGUUUGGCCGC